UGCUCACCAGUGAUGUUAAAAAUAAUAAAUGUCUGAACUAAUGAAACUCUGUGAUAUUAACUACUUAUCCUGAGGAGAGCA
ensembl:snoRNA